UACGAAGGGGGCUAGCGUUGUUCGGAUUUACUGGGCGUAAAGAGCGCGCAGGCGGUCGUACAAGUCGCGUGUGAAAGCCCCCGGCUCAACUGGGGAGGGUCACGCGAUACUGUUCGACUCGAAGGCAGGAGAGGGAAGCGGAACUCCCGGUGUAGUGGUGAAAUGCGUAGAUAUCGGGAGGAACACCAGUGGCGAAGGCGGGUCUCUGGGCCGAUACUGACGCUGAAGAGCGAAAGCGUGGGGAGCGAACAGG
rnacentral:rRNA from 1 species